CCCCUAGAUGUUCUGGGCCGCACGCGCGCUACACUGAACAGUUCAACAAGUCUUAACCUUGGCCGAUAGGUCUGGGUAAUCUUUGAACGCUGUUCGUGAUUGGGAUAGACCUUUGCAAUUAUGGGUCUUCAACGAGGAAUUCCUAGUAAACGCAAGUCAUCAGCUUGCAUUGAUUACGUCCCUGCCCUUUGUACACACCGCCCGUCGCUACUACCGAUUGAAUGAUUUAGUGAGGACUUCGGACUGGGACCGAUGCGGCUUUCGGGCUGCGUCGGUAUUCUGGAAAGAUGUCCAAACUGUAUCAUUUAGAGGAAGUAAAAGUCGUAACA
rnacentral:rRNA from 1 species